rnacentral:rRNA from 1 species
AGGCCGCGGUAACACCGGCGGCCCGAGUGGUGAUCGUGAUUAUUGGGUCUAAAGGGUCCGUAGCCGGUUUGGUCAGUCCUCCGGGAAAUCUGAUAGCUCAACUAUUAGGCUUUCGGGGGAUACUGCCAGACUUGGAACCGGGAGAGGUAAGAGGUACUACAGGGGUAGGGGUGAAAUCUUGUAAUCCCUGUGGGACCACCUGUGGCGAAGGCGUCUUACCAGAACGGGUUCGACGGUGAGGGACGAAAGCUGGGGGCACGAACCGGAUUAGAUACCCGGGUAGUCCCAGCCGUAACGAUGCUCGCUAGGUGUCAGGCAUGGCGCGACCGUGUCUGGUGCCGCAGGGAAGCCGUGAAGCGAGCCACCUGGGAAGUACGGCCGCAAGGCUGAAACUUAAAGGAAUUGGCGGGGGAGCACAACAACGGGUGGAGCCUGCGGUUUAAUUGGACUCAACGCCGGACAACUCACCGGGGGGCGACAGCAAUAUGUAGGCCAAGCUGAAGACUUUGCCUGAAUCGCUGAGGGGAGGUGCAUGG